rnacentral:rRNA from 1 species
UACGUAGGGGGCAAGCGUUGUCCGGAUUUAUUGGGCGUAAAGAGCGUGUAGGCGGCUUUACAGGUCCGUUGUGAAAACUCGAGGCUCAACCUCGAGACGCCGGUGGAAACCGUAAAGCUAGAGUCCGGAAGAGGAGAGUGGAAUUCCUGGUGUAGCGGUGAAAUGCGCAGAUAUCAGGAAGAACACCCGUGGCGAAGGCGGCUCUCUGGGACGGUACUGACGCUGAGACGCGAGAGCGUGGGGAGCGAACCGG